rnacentral:misc_RNA from 1 species
GAUGAAGAACGUAGCGAAAUGCGAUAAGUAGUGUGAAUUGCAGAAUUCAGUGAAUCAUCGAAUCUUUGAACGCACAUUGCGCCCCUUGGUAUUCCAUGGGGCAUCCCUGUUCGAGCGUCAUUUGUACCUUCAAGCUUUGCUUGGUGUUGGGUGUUUGUCCUGAGGGACUCGCCUUAAAGUAAUUGGCAGCCAGUGUUUGGUUUUGAAGCGCAGCACAAGUCGCGAUUCAAGGCUAUACACCAGCUUCCACAAGCCUUUUUCACUUUUGACCUCGGAUCAGGUAGGGAUACCCGCUGAACUUAAGCAUAUCAAUAAGCGGAGGA